GGGUCAGUAGGUUGGUCGUGCCACCGGUACGUACUGGUCUCACUGAUUCCUCCUUCCUGAAGAACCGUAAUGCCAUUAAUUUGGUGUUGCGGGGAAACAGGACUGUUACUUUGAAAGAAUGAGAGUGUUUAAAGCAAGCUAACGCUUGAAUACAUUAGCAUGGAAUAAUGAAAUAGGACGAUCGAUCCUAUUUUGUUGGUUUCUAGGAUUGACGUA
rnacentral:rRNA from 1 species